UAGAAUUUCUGGAUCAAUUUGGAAACUAAGACUAGAAAAGAUCUGUGUUUCGUCAUCUGGAACCCAGGGAGAGGGUGAGGCACGUGGAGUUCCUUGACCCCUCAUCUUGCUGAAGCAGCAAGCAUGGGCUAUUUAGAGCCUGUCUGCUUUGCACAUCCCAUGAGAGUGCAGUCAACAUCUGCUAGCCAUAGAUAAGACAAACUCUGUGGUUAUAAAAGACCCAAACUUCUGCUGUUCUAAGAGCUCCAUGACCCGGAGACGCCCCACCUCACUGCUGAGCAACAUCUUCCCUGCCCAAGUGCCACUCAAUAAAGCUUGUUGUACAAUACUGUCA
rnacentral:lncRNA from 1 species